GACGAACGCUGGCGGCGUGCCUAAUACAUGCAAGUAGAACGCUGAAGGAGGAGCUUGCUUCUCUGGAUGAGUUGCGAACGGGUGAGUAACGCGUAGGUAACCUGCCUGGUAGCGGGGGAUAACUAUUGGAAACGAUAGCUAAUACCGCAUAAUAGUAGAUGUUGCAUGACAUUUGCUUAAAAGGUGCAAUUGCAUCACUACCAGAUGGACCUGCGUUGUAUUAGCUAGUUGGUGAGGUAACGGCUCACCAAGGCAACGAUACAUAGCCGACCUGAGAGGGUGAUCGGCCACACUGGGACUGAGACACGGCCCAGACUCCUACGGGAGGCAGCAGUAGGGAAUCUUCGGCAAUGGACGGAAGUCUGACCGAGCAACGCCGCGUGAGUGAAGAAGGUUGUCGGAUCGUAAAGCUCUGUUGUAAGAGAAGAACGAGUGCGAGAGUGGAAAGUUCACACUGUGACGGUAUCUUACCAGAAAGGGACGGCUAACUACGUG
rnacentral:rRNA from 1 species